CGUAGNCGGCGUGCUUACACACGCAAGUCGAACGGGAACCUUUAUUUCGGUAAAGGUGAGAGUGGCAAACGGGCUGAGUAACUNGUAGGCAACCUGCCGACAGGAUGGGGACAACAUUCCGAAAGGAAUGCUAAUACCGAAUGGAGUCCGAGGAUGGCAUCAUCCUUGGAUCAAAGAUGGCCUCUUAACAAUGCUAUCGCCUGUCGAUGGGCCUGCGUCUGAUUAGCCAGUUGGCGGGGUAACGGCCCACCAAAGCGACGAUCAGUAGCCGGUCUGAGAGGAUGAACGGCCACAUUGGGACUGAGACACGGCCCAGACUCCUACGGGAGGCAGCAGUGGGGAAUCUUCCACAAUGGGCGAAAGCCUGAUGGAGCAACGCCGCGUGAGUGAAGAAGGUCUUCGGAUCGUAAAGCUCUGUUGCACGGGACGAAAACUGGGUUUGAAAACAUUGAACCUGGGUGACGGUACCGAGCGAGGAAGCCACGGCUAACUACGUGCCAGCAGCCGCGGUAAUACGUAGGUGGCGAGCGUUGUCCGGA
rnacentral:rRNA from 1 species